UUUGGAGAGGACUCACCCCUCUACUUUUGGGGGAGAUGUUAAUUGUUUGCUCUAGAACUGGGCACGGGGCAGAACCCCCUGGGGAACAGUGAGUUGAAGGAGACGGGAGUUCGGAAUACUUUUUGAGGUUUAUUUCUAGGAUAUAGGGUGCCAAGGAGAACGCUUCAGGAAGGAGAAAGGCUCCUGUCGGUGACUGAAUUUUUCAGGAACUAAAGUGGGAGUUUUUGGGACGGUGCUAUUGAGCGACGUGGGUGGCACUUUAUUUUUCCUGGGGAGCGGGGGUUGCUAGGGGUUGGGAGGUGGGCGGUGGAAGACAGGCUUGAUGAACAGAGGCAGCGGAUCCCCAGCUAAGCGUCUUCACACGGUUGCUAGGUGUCAGCGAGGCAAAUGCCAAGUUCACAAACUUGUUCCCGUCGUGGGAUGCUGCGAUCUUGCCUUGAUGGAGUGUCGGGGGCCUCUGGGAGGUGCGCCUGUGUGUGUUCCGACCCAGCCUCUCGCUGCGGAUUUGGCUGUAUCAUCUUUUGGAGGUGUUGUUUACUCCCCUGCAAAGCGGGAAUAAUAAAAACAGUAGCAUGUGC
ensembl:lncRNA novel transcript, sense intronic to GNG7